rnacentral:rRNA from 1 species
UACGGAGGGGGCUAGCGUUGUUCGGAAUUACUGGGCGUAAAGCGCACGUAGGCGGCUUUGUAAGUUAGAGGUGAAAGCCCGGGGCUCAACUCCGGAAUUGCCUUUAAGACUGCAUCGCUAGAAUUGUGGAGAGGUAAGUGGAAUUCCGAGUGUAGAGGUGAAAUUCGUAGAUAUUCGGAAGAACACCAGUGGCGAAGGCGAUUUACUGGACACAUAUUGACGCUGAGGUGCGAAAGCGUGGGGAGCAAACAGG